CCUGGUGGUUGUUGCGAGGAGCCCAUACCCGAUCCCAUCCCGAACUCGGCCGUCAAAUUCCUCAGCGCCAAUGGUACUAUGACUUAAGUCAUGGGAGAGUAGGUCGCUGCCAGGC
rnacentral:rRNA from 1 species